GACAUACAAGGCCACGGGACUCCCCCUGAGCAACAAACCCAGGUGGUUUCUCCAAAUAAACUUCAUCCUCAAGGUCACCAUGUAAAAAAACAUUCUUAAUGUCCAGCUGAUAGAGGGGCCAAUAGCGAACAUCAGCCAUCAAUAGAAAAAGGCGGACUGAUGCUAUCUUAGCCACGGGAGAGAAGGUGUCACUGUAAUCAAGCCAGGUCACCGUGUAAAAAUGCAUUUUUGAUGUCCAGCUGAUACAGGGGCCAGUGGCGAACAGCAGCCAUAGAGAGAAAAAGGCGGACUGAUGCUAUCUUAGCCACGGGAGAGAAGGUAUCACUGUAAUCAGGCCCAAAUAUCUGAGUAUAUCCCAUGGCAACAAGACGAGCCAUAAGACGAUCAACCUUAUCAUCUGGACCAACCUUGACUGCAUAUACCCAACGACAACCAACAGUAGAUUUACCUGAAGGAAGAGGGACGAGCUCCCAAGUACCACUCGUAUGUAAAGCAGACAUCUCGUCAGUCAUAGCAUGUCGCCACUCUGGAUGAGACAAUGCUUGA
rnacentral:lncRNA from 1 species